GGGCCGGGGGCGAGAGCCGGGAGGGCAGGGCGCGGGGCUGCCCGGGCCUCGGCCUUCCCGCCCCCCGGGCGCCUCGGGACCGCCGCCUGCCCCGGCCGGGAGCUUUGUUCUUUCUCCCCAACUACCUGUCUGAGCAGCGGGCCGGAGGGGGCCGAAGGAAAGGGCCCCCGCUCCGGGAGGGGCUCCCCAUCAGCAUCCGAGGGGCGCGCUCGGGGAGAAUGGGGUAGCGCCGCGCCUCCCUGUCUGCCUCCCUCCCUGCCUUUCCUCUUCUGUCUUCUCUUUUGUUGCCUCUACUCUUGGACACGACACAGCCUUUGCUGUACCCCCUCCCACUUGGGAGUUUGCAGUGUGGACGCACAGCGAACACAGUAAGUUGUCCCCCGGCGAACUCCGCGGACCCAGUGGAGCCGCCCCCGCCAAGCUGCGCGCCCCGCGGGGCCGGUGGAACCGCUGUCAGCUGUCCUCGAGCUCCAGCCACGCUGGGCUUUGUGGCCGGCCUCCCGGGACCAAGGAGGCUCCCCCAGACGCGGGCAGCUGGGACUCAUCCGAGAUUAGAAUCAGCUCCGAGGCUUAUUCCUUGGCAGCCCCUUCUGCUCGGACCCGUGCGGUAAUCAACUGGCCUGCGAAGGGUUGCAGUUAUGACAGUGCCGAUGACAGCUUCCAUCUGUGUGGUGCCCUGGCAUUCGGGAACCUUCCAUCAUCUGACUGGCCUGUGGCAUCAGGGAGGGGAGGGGGCAGUGGCCUGUGCAAGGCAGCCAUGACGGGGACAGUCAGGAGGAGAGGCCCUGCCCAUCUGCCUUUCCAGACUUGAGGUGGGUUCCGUCUCCCUGCCCCGAGCCCCCAGCACCCCACCCAGGGCCUGGCCAACAACAGGGACUCAGAAACACUCUGCCCAGGGCACUGCCGUGGAAGUGAUGCUGAAGCUGAAGGCCAAAGGGGUUUAAUAACUUUGUC
rnacentral:lncRNA from 1 species